GGGAAGGUGGCUCAGUGGCAGAGCACUUGCCUUGCAUGCAUGAGGCCCUGGGUUCAAUUCCUCCGCACCA
rnacentral:tRNA from 1 species